rnacentral:rRNA from 2 species
GACGGAGGGUGCUAGCGUUGUUCGGAAUCACUGGGCGUAAAGGGCGCGUAGGCGGCGCCGCAAGUCGGCUGUGAAAGCCCGGGGCUCAACCCCGGAGGUGCAGCCGAGACUGUGGUGCUGGAGGCCGGAAGAGGAGGGUGGAAUACCCAGUGUAGAGGUGAAAUUCGUAGAUAUUGGGUGGAACACCGGUGGCGAAAGCGGCUCUCUGGUCCGGACCUGACGCUGAGGCGCGAAAGCGUGGGGAGCAAACAGG